UUUGUGCUUGUGGAUUCUAAAAGCCCUAAAAGGGUCAACAGGUAGCAAAGAGGCAAAAAGCUUAAUUUUUUGUCCUUGCUUUACAUUCAUUAAAGCCAAGCAUAAUGUGAGCUUUGCAGU